rnacentral:rRNA from 1 species
GGUUAAGUGACUAAGCGUAUACGGUGGAUGCCUUGGCAGUCAGAGGCGAUGAAGGACGUAGUAACUUGCGAAAAGCGUUGGCGAGCUAGUAACAAGCAUUUGAGCUAACGAUGUCCGAAUGGGGAAACCCACUUACAUAAGUAAGUAUCUUACACUGAAUACAUAGGUGUAAGAGGCAAACCCGGGGAACUGAAACAUCUAAGUACCCGGAGGAAAAGAAAUCAACCGAGAUUCCCCUAGUAGCGGCGAGCGAACGGGGAUUAGCCCUUAAGUCAGUGGGGUGUUAGUGGAAUGUGUUGGAAAGCACAGCGGCACAGGGUGAUAGCCCCGUACACGAAAACUAACCAUUGAUGAAAACGAGUAAGACGGGACACGUGACAUCCUGUUUGAAUAUGGGGGGACCAUCCUCCAAGGCUAAAUACUCCUGACUGACCGAUAGUGAACCAGUACCGUGAGGGAAAGGCGAAAAGAACCCCUGUGAGGGGAGUGAAAUAGAACCUGAAACCGUAUACGUACAAGCAGUGGGAGCGGUUCUUGAGACCGUGACUGCGUACCUUUUGUAUAAUGGGUCAGCGACUUACAUUUUGUAGCGAGGUUAAGCGAAUAGCGGAGCCGUAGGGAAACCGAGUGUUAACUGCGCGUUUAGUUGCAAGGUGUAGACCCGAAACCCGGUGAUCUAGCCAUGGGCAGGUUGAAGGUUGAGUAACAUCAACUGGAGGACCGAACCGACUUAUGUUGAAAAAUGAGCGGAUGACUUGUGGCUGGGGGUGAAAGGCCAAUCAAACCGGGAGAUAUCUGGUUCUCCUCGAAAGCUAUUUAGGUAGCGCCUCGAGCGAAUACCAUUGGGGGUAGAGCACUGUUAAGGCUAGGGGGUCAUCCCGACUUACCAACCCUUUGCAAACUCCGAAUACCAAUGAGUACUACUCGGGAGACAGACGGCGGGUGCUAACGUCCGUCGUCAAAAGGGAAACAACCCAGACCGUCAGCUAAGGUCCCAAAGUGUAUGUUAAGUGGGAAACGAUGUGGGAAGGCUUAGACAGCUAGGAUGUUGGCUUAGAAGCAGCCAUCAUUUAAAGAAAGCGUAAUAGCUCACUAGUCGAGUCGGCCUGCGCGGAAGAUUUAACGGGGCUAAACAUACCACCGAAGCUACGGGUUUGCAGUUUACUGCAAGCGGUAGAGGAGCGUUCUGUAAGCGGUUGAAGGUGAAGGGGUAACCCACACUGGACGUAUCAGAAGUGCGAAUGCUGACAUGAGUAACGAUAAAGGGAGUGAAAAACUCCCUCGCCGAAAGACCAAGGGUUCCUGUCCAACGUUAAUCGGGGCAGGGUGAGUCGACCCCUAAGGCGAGGCUGAAAGGCGUAGUCGAUGGGAAACAGAUUAAUAUUUCUGUACUUUUGCUAACUGCGAUGGAGAGACGGAGAAGGCUAGGCUAGCGCGGCGUUGGUAGUCCGCGUUUAAGGUAGUAGGCCGUACACUUAGGCAAAUCCGGGUGUACAUUGGCUGAGAGCUGAUGACGAGUCACUACGGUGAUGAAGUAGUUGAUGCCAUGCUUCCAGGAAAAUCUUCUAAGCUUCAGGUUAGUAGGAAUCGUACCCCAAACCGACACAGGUGGUCGGGUAGAGAAUACCAAGGCGCUUGAGAGAACUCGGCUGAAGGAACUAGGCAAAAUGGUACCGUAACUUCGGGAGAAGGUACGCUGCUGGCGGUGAUGAGACUUGCUCUCUAAGCUGCUGGCAGUCGCAGAUACCAGGUGGCUGCAACUGUUUAUCAAAAACACAGCACUGUGCAAAAUCGCAAGAUGACGUAUACGGUGUGACGCCUGCCCGGUGCCGGAAGGUUAAUUGAUUGGGUUAUCCCU